CUUUUCCAUAAUUGAUCGAGUUACGGAACUUCGAGUGAUUAGGACGUGUGGUUGCCGAUUUCCUGUGUUCUAUUCUUACUGAUUCUUCUUCUCGAGCUUUUUUAACUGAAAAGACUGUUAAUAUUAACAUAGUCAGUGUACUUCGUGGCUUCAUGGUCAGUCCAAAGCCGAAGAGAGA